rnacentral:rRNA from 1 species
UACGUAGGGUGCAAGCGUUGUCCGGAAUUAUUGGGCGUAAAGAGCUCGUAGGCGGUCUGUCGCGUCGGCUGUGAAAACCCGGGGCUCAACCCCGGGCCUGCAGUCGAUACGGGCAGACUAGAGUGCGGUAGGGGAGACUGGAAUUCCUGGUGUAGCGGUGAAAUGCGCAGAUAUCAGGAGGAACACCGGUGGCGAAGGCGGGGCUCUGGGCCGUAACUGACGCUGAGACGCGAAAGCGUGGGGAGCAAACAGG